rnacentral:tRNA from 1 species
GCCGGGGUGGCCGAGAGGUCUAAGGCGGCGGGCUGCAGUGGUUUCCGGCUAAUAUCCGCUCGUUGAGACCCGUUAAUUCCCGGGUUCGAAUCCCGGCCCCGGCU